rnacentral:rRNA from 1 species
UGAGGAAUAUUGGUCAAUGGGCGGAAGCCUGAACCAGCCAUCCCGCGUGCAGGAAGACGGCUCUAUGGGUUGUAAACUGCUUUUCCAGGGGGAGAAACUUUCCGAUGAAUCGGGAUUUGACGGUACCCUGGGAAUAAGCAUCGGCUAACUCCGUGCCAGCAGCCGCGGUAAUACGGAGGAUGCGAGCGUUAUCCGGAUUUAUUGGGUUUAAAGGGUGCGUAGGCGGAUCGAUAAGUCAGUGGUGAAAACCUGUAGCUUAACUGUAGACUUGCCGUUGAUACUGUUGGUCUUGAGUAUGGUCAAGGUAGGCGGAAUGUGUAAUGUAGCGGUGAAAUGCUUAGCUAUUACACAGAACACCGAUUGCGAAGGCAGCUUACUGGACCAUCACUGACGCUGAUGCACGAAAGCGUGGGGAUCGAACAG